ensembl:rRNA 5S_rRNA 5S ribosomal RNA
GUCUAUGGCCAUGCCAUCCUGAACGUGCCCGAUCUCGUCUGAUUUUGGAAGCUAAGCAGGGUCGCAUCUGGUUAGUACUUGGAUGGGAGACCACCUAGGAAUACCAGGUGCUGUAGGCA